GCCUAAGGCCGCGAUCGCUGGCGGCCCUAAAUAUAGAGCCGGAGUGACCGCUGCGCAUGCGCUGUGGGUGCGGCCUGCCGCGCGCACGCGCGCCGGAGCCUGCCCGGCAAGGUGCCAGGUCCUUCCCUGUGGGCUCCGCUCCAACUCCUGGGACUGUGUCUCAGGCCUACGCUGCCUGAGCCGGGAUCGCAGGGCGGUGGACGGGCAAGUCCCUUUUUGGAUCUCUUCCCUUCGUCUCUCUGUCACCUUCCACGAACAGCCCUGUGCGUCAGACUCCUGCGCCCCCGGUGUAGGUCGCAAACCGACCGCGCCCGGGAAGGAAACCUACCUGCUAAGAAAAGGGUUUAUUGGGCAUAUAGGAAGGGGUCUCGGGCCAGGGUUUUAAGAUCCAGUCAACGAGGGGCUUGCCUGGUUUUGUUUGCGUCGAUGACGGGGCAACUUUAUUGGAUGGAUGACCCUAGAAUGGCCCUGGCAUAGAUGUGCUAAGGGGCUGCUGUCGCGGGAUUAAAGAAGCAGCCACAAAAGGGAGCCCAGUGGUGGCACGUUCUUGUCCGAAUUGAAGAGAAGAGGGAACGGAGAAACUGGCUAGAUGGAGCUCAUAGUUCCACAGUUCUAGUCACUCAGAUGGUGAGGGUGUCAUGACAGCACAGGACCUGACACAGACUUGAACAGCUAUAAGUUAAUGGUUUUUAUUUUGAGACAAGGUCUCAUGUAGUCAAGCCAUCCUGGCCUCAAAGUUUAGUAUGUAGCCAACCUUGGAGUCAUCCUGUCUCUACCUCCCCAGUCGUGGGAUUGCAGACUGGGUUAGGCUGGACCUGUGCCAGGCCAAGAGCUGCCCGCCUGCAAUCGGGGAAAGAACCUUUCUGGUUUCGUCUUUCCCAGCUGGACAUCAAGAAGAAGAACAAAGUCCAGAAUGAUAAAGAUGGAGGCGUACCCAGGUGGGCCCUGUGCUGAUCCAACUGCCUUCUCUCCUGUGCCGCUGCUUCUGGUCUACGUCCUCCCCUCUUCAUCUAUAUCUUCCCCCACUCUCCCUCCUCCUCCCACAACCCCUCCUUGAACUGCAGUCUAAACUCCUCUCAUCCUUUGCUCUGGCCCUGAGCAUGGGUGCCCACACCGCUGGAGUUCAAGCAAGGUCAGCCCUCUGGAAAUGACGCUGAGACAUUUCUCCUUCUCGGCCAGCCUGCGUCACUGUCACAGUAAGGGGCUGCUGCUUGUCGAAGGGGCCAGCAGUCAAGGCAGAAAGAAAAUGUCAAGGCUUGCCCCAGAGUCCUCCCCCCACACCCCUUACUCUGGGCCCCACAAGCUGUUUUCAUUAGUCCCCUUAUAUGGUAAGCUUAUUAGCCAACCUUACUGAUUGCCACUCUCUUGACCUCUUCAAGGAGACCCUCACAGACAGGGGACAGUGCUGCCUAGCAUGGCUCAGUGUCCUGCAUUCAAUUCCCAGCAAUGCAAAACUAAGGUAAAAAGGAAACAAAGCUGUCGAGCCCGGGCUGCUUCCGCUUGUGUGCAGCCUUGAACCAGAAGGCCAUCUUCUAGCGGUGCCCACAUGUGCAGUGGUCAGUGAGGGCAACCUGGCAGCCCAGCUCUGCCCUGGAGGGGCUCCAGCUGGAGGAGAGCUGGGACGGGUCCCCAGACCUCAGUACAACAGACUCCAUGAUGGAACUACCAUUCAGGCUAUAAAGCUCAGCUCAGACACCUGCCCAAACAAAACCGAAGGCCUAAUCCGUCCAAGUCCAUGGUUAUGGGAAAGUCUCAAAAUGUACUAAUCUUGCUGUUUUUGCUUCUAUAGUUCUGCUUACUGUUCUUGUUAACUGGAGCGUGCCAUUCAGAGCUCACACCAAGAAAGACUCAGAACUACACACUGGGAUACCAAAUACCUAGUGUAGUCCCCAGCCGGCUAAUAACCACUUUCUGUUGGCUUAA